GGAUCGGGUGGGCAUUCGCUCACAGUCGGUGUGGAGUUGCCGUCGGAUGGAGGUGAUGAGAGUGAAAACAGCGUCUGUGGCCGAGCUGACGAGAUGGCACCGGUGAAUCCUGCAGUUUCACAGGGAACAAUUUGUGUAUGCAUCAUGCCUCCUGAACUCCAUGAAGAUUGUUUCCAUCAGAUGCUGUCACGUCCAGGUUUGAACUGGAGACUUCACCCUCCUGUGAGGACCGAUGUGGUGGUAACGUAGUGAAGCAGGUCCUCUCUGUUUAUGUUCCAGCUUAUUACACUUCCUGAUGUGCUCUGUGUGCAACAUAACCAGAGCUGCCUUUGCCCUGUGGACAGUGGACUCAUUCUGCCACUGUCCUGUGUCGUUAUGUCCCUGUGCUGUGCGUCCUGACCUCCGUGGCGUGAGUGACGUCCCUGGCUCU